UCAGACUUGCACUGAUGAUUCAUGUACAAGCACCGUGCCACUAACAUGUUCCACAGAGACAAUGUGUAUAACUGCCGCCAUUGAAGCUGUUUCAUCUGGAACUCCUGGACAACAAAUCUUCAAGGCGUGUGCGUCAUCCUCCCUUUGUCCAGCCACAGGAUCUCAGAUAUUUUCAGUCAACUUGGGUGUUUCGAGUGCACUUGCAUCUACUACAUGCUGCAACACAGAUAACUGCAACUCAGCCACUCUAUCAUUCCCCACCACUCCAUCAGUCAACAGCCUCCAGUGUUAUUCAUGUGACCCUGCCACAUCACAAUGCACCACUUCAGUUCAGUGUACGGGAACACAAGAUCGCUGCUUUCAAG